AUACGGAGGAUCCAAGCGUUAUCCGGAUUUAUUGGGUUUAAAGGGAGCGUAGGCGGGAGAUCAAGUCAGCUGUGAAAUGUAGAUGCUCAACAUCUGCACUGCAGUUGAAACUGGUUUUCUUGAGUGCGUAAGGGGCAGGCGGAAUUCGUCGUGUAGCGGUGAAAUGCUUAGAUAUGACGAAGAACUCCGAUCGCGAAGGCAGCCUGCCGGGCCGCGACUGACGCUGAAGCUCGAAGGUGCGGGUAUCGAACAGGAUUAGAUACCCUGGUAGUCCGCACAGUAAACGAUGGAUACUCGCUGUCGGCGAUAUACGGUCGGUGGCCAAGCGAAAGCGUUAAGUAUCCCACCUGGGGAGUACGCCGGCAACGGUGAAACUCAAAUGAAUUGACGGGG
rnacentral:rRNA from 1 species